rnacentral:rRNA from 1 species
GGCUCUUUGUUUUAAUUUUUAGAUAGAGAGUCUGGCCUGCCCGGUGAUCUAAGGUAUUAAACGGCCGCGGUAUAUUAACUGUGCGAAGGUAGCGUAAUAAUUUGCCUAUUGAUUGUGGGCUAGUAUGAAUGGCUUGACGAGGGCUGAGCUGUCUCUUCAUAGUAUAUUUAGAAUUUGGUUUUUAGGUGAAAAUGCCUAAAUGUAGCUAAGGGACGAUAAGACCCUGUCGAGCUUAAGUGAAGUUUUGGAGGCGGACUAUUCAAAUUUGAAUGUGAUUUGUUUGCUGAAGUGAAUCUUUGACUGGGGCGGUUGAGAAGUAGGAUAAACCUUUUGUGUAAUUUGUUUGCUUAUUGGCAUAAGAUCGAGUGAUGUAAAGUGUAUUACGUAGCAUAAGAGAGAGUUACCGCAGGGAUAACAGCGUAAUUCUUUUGGAGAGUUCUUAUUGAUAAAAGAGUUUGCGACCUCGAUGUUGGAUUAAGGUUUCCUGAAGGUGUAGAAGCUUUUGAGGGUAAGUCUGUUCGACUAUUAAAAUCUUACAU